AAUGUUAACUGUGAUUGUCACUUUGAUUAUUUGUAUAUAUGUACAAAUGUUCUUGUUACCGCUCUUAUAUAUUAUUUAUAUUUUCUGCAAGUACCAUUUUUCGCUAUCAACUCCUACUGGGCAUUGCUCACCCUUUUCAUUAUUUUCCUCUCACAGAGCAUGAAAGGAGCUUGCAGCAGUAAGCUGGGUAGAGCUUACGACAGGCUUUUAGUGCGUUAAAAGGUAUAAAGACGGCAUACACAUGUUACUUACAAAGGUAUUAAUGCGGAUGUUUCGAAUGGUCAUGGCUGACUGUUACAAUAUGUUGUUGUUGCUGGAAAAGACGAUACUGUUAAAGUUCUUCUGGAUUAUGGUGUCAAUUGUAAUCAUAACACGAUCUUGGAAAUUUGCGAAGCCAUGUCAAAUUGUGGAUAUUCCAACAAGACCCACAUUCAAGCUGCAGUCGAGCAACGUAUUAAUCCAUGAUUCCACAACUAUCCAUAGGUGUAGAGGUCAAGAAGCUGGGACUUAUGGAAACUGGAGAUAUAUGGACAAGGAUAACUGAACCUACCAGGCGUCAAUGGAAAGAUAGGAUUAACUCAUUUUUUUCUGGUUACCCCGUCUUAUGUAAAUCACAGUAUAGUUUUAACAUCUUUGUUAUAUCCAGUUACUUGUAUUCCUUCUCUUUGUUGUUUCAUGUCUCGUGUAUUUCAAGUCAUCUAAUCUUGGGUUUUCUGUCUAAAAGUUUCCAGUCAGUUGAGUUAGGUCCGAUUCAAAAACAAACACAUUUUCUGAGUCAUACCUAAGUGAGUCAGAUCCAGAUGAGUCAUGUGAUUUCAGUCAGAUCCAGAUGACUCAGAUCCAGAGGACUCAGAUGAGUCAUCUACAAACAAACAAGUUGUAUGUCUAG